rnacentral:rRNA from 1 species
CAAACCAAAGCUGGCGACCGGCGCACGGGUGAGUAACACGUAUCCAACCUGCCUCGUACUCGGGGAUAGCCUUUCGAAAGAAAGAUUAAUAUCCGAUAGCAUAUAUUUCCCGCAUGGGUUUUAUAUUAAAGAAAUUCGGUAUGAGAUGGGGAUGCGUUCCAUUAGUUUGUUGGGGGGUAACGGCCCACCAAGACUACGAUGGAUAGGGGUUCUGAGAGGAAGGUCCCCCACAUUGGAACUGAGACACGGUCCAA